rnacentral:rRNA from 1 species
UACGAAGGGGCUAGCGUUGCUCGGAAUCACUGGGCGUAAAGCGCACGUAGGCGGAUUCCUAAGUCGGUGGUGAAAUCCUGGAGCUCAACUCCAGAACUGCCUUUGAUACUGGCGAGCUUGAGUUCGGGAGAGGUGAGUGGAACUGCGAGUGUAGAGGUGAAAUUCGUAGAUAUUCGCAAGAACACCAGUGGCGAAGGCGGCUCACUGGCCCGAUACUGACGCUGAGGUGCGAAAGCGUGGGAGCAACAGG